UUCUACUCAUCCACUGAUCCCAACGCCCGUGAGGACUGGGAGCGUAUAGUAGGAGGCACCAAAGCUGCAAACGGCUCCAUUCCAUACCAGGUCUCACUAAGAUUUUGGGGCGUAUGGCACUUCUGCGGGGCAUCCCUGGUCACUCCGCGGGUCAUACUGACUGCAGCUCAUUGUGUUGACAG